UACGAGGGGGGCCAGCUUUGUUCGGAAUCACUGGGCGUAAAGCGCACGAAGGCGGACUUUUCAGUCAGGGGUGAAAUCCCGGGGCUCAACCCCGGAACUGAAUCCGAUUCUGCCGUGCUUGAGGGUUGGAGAGGUAGCUGUAAUUCUCGGUGUAGCAGUGAAAUGCGUGGAUAUCGAGAGGAACACUCGUGGCGAAGGAGAGCUACUGGACAACAUCUGACGCUGAGGCUCGAAGGCCAGGGGAGCAAAAGGG
rnacentral:rRNA from 1 species